UCACCGGGUGAAAAACUCCCA
rnacentral:miRNA from 1 species